rnacentral:rRNA from 1 species
UAAUACAGAGGGUGCGAGCGUUGUUCGGAAUUAUUGGGCGUAAAGCGCUUGUAGGCGGCCUGUCAAGUCGCGUGUGAAAUCCCCUGGCUUAACCAGGGAAGUGCGCGCGAAACUGGCGGGCUUGAGUGCCGGAGAGGGUCGCGGAAUUCCCGGUGUAGAGGUGAAAUUCGUAGAUAUCGGGAGGAACACCAGUGGCGAAGGCGGCGACCUGGACGGACACUGACGCUGAGACGCGAAAGCGUGGGGAGCAAACAGGAUUAGAUACCCUGGUAGUCCACGCUGUAAACGAUGGGUGCUAGUUGUGGCGGGUUUUGACCCCUGCCGUGACGCAGCUAACGCAAUAAGCACCCCGCCUGGGAAGUACGGCCGCAAGGCUA